rnacentral:rRNA from 1 species
UGGCGGACGGGUGAGUAACGCGUGAGCAACCUACCUUCUGAUGGGGGAUAACGUCUGGAAACGGACGCUAAUACCGCAUAAACCGAUGUUAUCGCAUGGUGAUAUCGGCAAAGAGAUAUCGUCGGGAGAUGGGCUCGCGUUGGAUUAGAUAGUUGGCGGGGUAACGGCCCACCAAGUCAACGAUCCAUAGCCGGACUGAGAGGUCGGACGGCCACAUUGGAACUGAGAUACGGUCCAGACUCCUACGGGAGGCAGCAGUGGGGAAUAUUGGGCAAUGGGCGAAAGCCUGACCCAGCGACGCCGCGUGAAGGAAGAAGGUCUUCGGAUUGUAAACUUCAGUAGGCAGGGACGAAGAAAGUGACGGUACCUGCAGAGUAAGCCACGGCUAACUACGUGCCAGCAGCCGCGGUAAUACGUAGGUGGCGAGCGUUAUCCGGAUUUACUGGGUGUA